GUGAAGACUUAAAAUAGAGACAAACAUGGCCGGGCAAAAAGAGCGGGGUCCCGCCUUCAGGUGUUUGGGACUCAAAUGAGGGUGUGGGUGCCCCGCGGUGGGGGCUGAACCUUCCUGGGGUGUGGAGAGACGAAAGAAGCCCAGAUUCAAGUCGUCUCGUUCCCGCUUUGGCACAAGUUGCCCUGGCUGUCUCAUGAGAGAGAGAACUGGGACCCUCAUGGCCCCAAUGAAUGUAGUGUCUUGCUCCGGGUGUCCUGGGGCUACUUUCUAUGUAAAGGCGGGACGUGGGAGGAUGAGACAGUGUAACGUCAGACAAGGGUGUUGACUCUGCAGCACAAAACCAGUAGUUUGUAGAGACGAACGAAGUGUGGUGUUGUAUCUGCUAGAGAGGCUACUGAGGCAAAACUCAAGAGAUUCAGAUCCCAUCAUGGGGACACUGUAGUGUAACAUCAGAGAAAGGGUAGACUCUGCACCCUAGAACCUGGAGCUAACAGAGAAAAACUGUGAUGUGGACUCUGCUAGACAGGCUACUGGAGUAAGGGUGAAGUGAUGAAGAUCUCAUCAUUGGGACAUAUUAACACAGUGCUUUUAUGCAGAUGACUGAACCCGUGGAGUUAGGCGGCUGAGAGGAUACAGCCUCCCAGAUCUCUACAACUGAUGGCAGCAAGAUGGGAGCACCCAGCUUCAGUGUUCAGAAGUAGAUUUAUGCAGACUUCCACAUCUUACAUGCAGGAGGGAUCCCCCGUGACCUGAGCAGCACAGAGUUCCUCACACAGGUGACUGAACCCAUGGUUUUGGUGUCUGAGAAGAUGCAGCUUCUCCAGUCUCUGCAACUGAUGUCACCAAGAUGGAAGCACUCAGCUUCAGUGUUCAGAAGCAGAUUUAGGCCAACUACCACACCUUAUGUCCUGGAGGGAUCCACCCUGACUUGAGCAGAGAUGGAGUUUCGUGAUGUUGCCCAGGCUGGUCUCAAACUCCUGGUCUCAAGUGAUCAGCCCGUCUCAACCUCUCAGAAUGCAAGGAUUAUAGGUGUGAGUCACUGCAUCCCACACAGACUUUGAGUGAAUUUCAAUUGUACAUGUAAUGUUUUAUUUCUCAAUAUGAGUAUAUACAAGUAUAUUCUUUUUGUAAGCUUUUUUAUAUCUAAAAUAUUUCAGAAAAAUAAAACUUUCUUUAGUUCUGAUUAUAAAAAUGAUCUGUACGAAUUUAGAAGUUGUGGAAAAUAUAGUUAUGUCCAGAAAUAAAUAUAUAAUUAAUCCGUAAUUCUACUACUCAUAAACUUAAAAAAGAGUAUUAUGUUUGUAUAUUACUCCCACUUAUACUCUGUAUGCAUGCAUCAUAAUGUAUAUUCAUUGCAUGUGAGUCUAAUAUAUUGAGACAUUCAAGAUUUGCAACCAAACUCUGACUCUCAAGUCACCAACCCUAACCAUUGGGGUAUACAAUCUUAUAAAUAAGGGCUGUGUUCAGCUCAGAGGAAGUAUCUUCUAGACAAGGACAGAUCUGGCAUUCAGUCCUCAAGUCUCCUGAUUUCAGUCUGUUGUACAGAAUAGUAAUCUUUAUGCUCUUUUAUUCUGUACUGUCUCCUUUCUGGGGUUCGAACAAAGGUUCCUAUCCCAGUGUCAAAAUGGAAGGUAAAAAGGAAGAGAAGAACACAUCAAAUAAAAAGUAACAAAGUGAUUAUUUGAUUCCAAACUUCCACCAUUCUCAGGUAUCUCACCCACAAAGAAAUGUCACCAAAGGUUCUAUAUCACAUAAGUAUGCAUGUUUCCUUUCCCAUGUUUCAAAUUUAGAUGAUCUCUGUGAGAUGUUCAUGUUUAAGUCUUUUGUGGAAGGGAAAACAGAGGGAAGACAAAAUGUAUAUUUAUUGAAGUAUUAUGUAUCAGAUGGUUUCUAUAGUUUUGCUCAUUUCUCCUUAUAACAGUUUUGUGAGGUAAAUAUCAAUAUGCUAAUUUUAUUGAUGAGCAAGGUGAGGUUCACUGAGGAUAACUCACUACCACAGCAUCAUACAAUAGAAAAGAGUGAGUACUCUUCCCUCAUCCCAACUUCAUCACAUUGCAUAGCACAGAGAUGGCACUAAGUUUCCUACAUAAUAUAGAUGAAUGUGUGUGGUUCCCUUCUUGCAUUCCCAAAUACUCACUAAAAUAUAGUGAUGCUAUCCAGAUUAUGAAAAAACAUCCCUGUUAAAGAUCAUAAGAGUUGAGAUGGGAAGGAAGCAAACACUGGCACUGUGAAUGACACACCAAAUACCGUGCUGGCAUCUUGACAAAGAUCUCCCCUUGAACAGAUCAUAAUACUCUCUUGAGUGUAAGGAUCAGGUGUAUGUGUGUUUUUGGUGAAACACGCAAAACAAUAUAUGUUUUAUUUAGGGAGGCUCUCGUAUGGAAUAAAAGGAUAAAGCAACAAAUGGGAAGAUGAUCAUUGCUUUCUGGAUGCUGAUUAUCUGUAGCAGAGAAGGAAGGGGAUGCAAUUCGGGAAAAGUAAAGUUUUUUCCUCAGCUGGACUAAUUUCAUAGCUCUCUCUAUUUUUUAUCUGAAACAUUUCACAAGUAGCAGAGGUUUUAGGGGAUACAGUUUUUCAAAUCAUAAAUACAGACAUUCCCCAACUUUUGAUUUUUUGACUUACAAUUUUUCAAUUUUAUGAUAGUGUGAAAAUGGUACACAUUCAAUAGAAACUGUACUUCAAGUUUUAGAUUUUGGUCUUUUCUCCAGCUAGCAGUAUGCAGUAUUAUACUCUCUUGUGAUUCUGUUAGGGAGCAGUAAUGAGCCACAGCUCCCAGUCAGCCAUGCAAUCACGAGGAUAAACAACUGAUAUUCUACAGUGUACAGUGUUGCCAGCAUUUUUUGGAUAUUGUUUUGUGUUUUCACAUCCCAUCUUGUCUACAAAUGCCCAUUUUUGACCUACAAUUAUUUUCAACUUACAAUGAGCUUAUUAGGAUGUAACUCCCAUAGUAAGUCAAGUAUGGAAUAUGGAGUCUGGAGUAUGUAUAAUCCAUAUUCUCACCUUAGCAAAUGUUUAAUAUUGAGCCAAAUGCAGGGUUAAAAAUAUCAAUAGCCAGCAAUCCCCAUCAUAAUUAACAUGGUACUAGAUCUUUCCAAUGAUUUUUUAUAUAUGGAUAUAUGCACGUGUACUGUACAUGCAUUACAAAUGCAAUUAAUAAAGCUCUUAUAAUCCUA